rnacentral:rRNA from 1 species
AUUGAACGCUGGCGGCAGGCCUAACACAUGCAAGUCGAGCGAGCGGCGGACGGGUGAGUAAUGUAUGGGGACUGCCCGAUAGAGGGGGAUAACUACUGGAAACGGUAGCUAAUACCGCAUACUAUCGGAUAACCCAUAUGGGAUUAGCUAGUAGGUGAGGUAACGGCUCACCUAGGCGACGAUCCCUAGCUGGUAGGAGAGGAUGAUCAGCCACACUGAGACUGAGACACGGCCCAGACUCCUACGGUGCCAGCAUUGGGGAAUAGUGCACUAUGGGCGCAAGCCUGAUGCAGCCAUGCCGCGUGUAGGAAGAAGGCCCUAGGUGUGUAAAGUACUUUCAGUCGGGAGGCGUUACCGACAGAAGAAGCACCGGCUAACUCCGUGCCAGCAGCCGCGGUAAUAC